CCCCAUCAUAACCUUGCCCUCUGAUAUCUUGGACAUUCAACUCAUUAUUAAUGAGGACAACAACAAUGAAGUUAGAGUCGAAGUUAUUGUCCUCGUUGAUAAUGGGUUGAAUGCGCAAAGAUAUCAGAGGGCAACGCUAUGAUGGA